AAAAGGUACUCCGGAGAUAACAGGCUGAUACCGCCCAAGAGUUCAUAUCGACGGCGGUGUUUGGCACCUCGAUGUCGGCUCAUCACAUCCUGGGGCUGAAGUAGGUCCCAAGGGUAUGGCUGUUCGCCAUUUAAAGUGGUACGCGAGCUGGGUUUAGAACGUCGUGAGACAGUUCGGUCCCUAUCUGCCGUGGGCGCUGGAGAACUGAGGGGGGCUGCUCCUAGUACGAGAGGACCGGAGUGGACGCAUCACUGGUGUUCGGGUUGUCAUGCCAAUGGCACUGCCCGGUAGCUAAAUGCGGAAGAGAUAAGUGCUGAAAGCAUCUAAGCACGAAACUUGCCCCGAGAUGAGUUCUCCCUGACUCCUUGAGAGUCCUGAAGGAACGUUGAAGACGACGACGUUGAUAGGCCGGGUGUGUAAGCGCAGCGAUGCGUUGAGCUAACCGGUACUAAUGAACCGUGAGGCUUAACCUUACAACGCCGAAG
rnacentral:rRNA from 1 species